rnacentral:lncRNA from 1 species
UUUAUCGCAUGAUUGGGAGGGUAGCGAACUGGUCACAUCAUUUUGUAAGAUGACGUGUUUCCUUUGACUUUUAGAUAGCUUUGGACAUUGUUGCUUUUUGUGAAUUUUUUAAAUUUAUUUAUUAAUUUAUCCUUUCAAUAAAUUAAUUUUUUUAAUUUAUUUAUUCGUUGAAUGGAUGUAGUUUACAUUAUCUCUUCAAAGAUUUGUGAGAUAAUUCUCACUGAAGUAGAUAUGGCCAUGCCCGCUGGCUGCUGAAGCAAUGGGCAUGGCUUAAACUAUUCCGAAGGAUAAGCCAGUUGGCUUUUCUCAAAGCGAUAGAUUCAUUUAGGAAGGGGUUAAUUUUGGAUUAUUCUCCUCACUAUCUUAAAAUCACUCUUUUUUAUUUUUAAAAAUUUUAAUUUAUCUCCUAUUUUAUUAAGAAGACAAAAAUAAAAAAAUCAUUAAUCUACCCACAUUUAUUCUCUUAUCUUUUGACUAGAUAUUAGGGUAAUUUAAAGUUUUCAAAAGAAAAUGAUUAAUAUGAAGAUAAUUAAUUUACGAAGAGAAUAAUCUCAAAUUUUCUUUUAGGAUUUGAGGAGGGGUGGGGAUGCAAUAGAACUAUAUAUAUAUAUAUAACUUUACUAGAAGAUAUUUUAUGAGGAACUUUAUUGAAUAAAUGGAUGAGGUUAUAAUGACAAUUAAUUUUUUUUUUUUGUCUGAACCACGAGGUGGUCUUGAGUGGGCCCCAACUUUGAGAAACACCUUUAAGCCCGUAUCACGACUCAGACUAAUCUCCGCUCGCACCGGGUCGGCCCGUAAGGGGUAAAGUGCUGGUCAAAGUGGUGACUCCAUACGAAAGCGGGGCUUGAACUCCUAACCUCUCUUAAGGAGUGAGAGUGUCAAACCACUCACACCAACCAACUUUGAUUAUAACGACAAUUAUUUUG